rnacentral:rRNA from 1 species
AUACGAAGGUGGCGAGCGUUGUUCGGAUUUACUGGGCGUAAAGGGCGCGCAGGCGGCCUGGGAAGUCUUGGGUGAAAGCCCCCAGCUCAACUGGGGAAUGGCCUGAGAAACCACUAGGCUGGAGUGCUGGAGAGGGAAGCGGAAUUCCCGGUGGAGCGGUGAAAUGCGUAGAUAUCGGGAGGAACACCAGAGGCGAAGGCGGCUUCCUGGACAGACCCUGACGCUGAGGCGCGAAAGCUAGGGGAGCAAACGGGAUUAGAAACCCCAGUAGUCC